UGGGGAAUAUUGCGCAAUGGGGGAAACCCUGACGCAGCAACGCCGCGUGAGUGAGGAAGGACUUCGGUCUGUAAAGCUCUGUUAAUGAGGAAAAAUGGCAGUUGGUCUAAUAGGCCGAUUGUUUGAUGGUACUCAUAGAGGAAGCACCGGCUAACUUCGUGCCAGCAGCCGCGGUAAUACGAAGGGUGCAAGCGUUGUUCGGAUUUAUUGGGCGUAAAGCGCGCGUAGGCGGACCUGCAAGUCAGAUGUGAAAUCUCGAGGCUCAACCUCGAAACUGCGUCUGAAACUACAGGUCUAGAAUCUCGGAGGGGGAAGGGGAAUUUCGCAUGUAGGGGUAAAAUCCGUAGAUAUGCGAAGGAACACCAGAGGCGAAGGCGCCUUCCUGGACGAGUAUUGACGCUGAGGCGCGAAAGCGUGGGGAUCAAACAGGAUUAGAUACCCUGGUAGUCCACGCUGUAAACGAUGAACACUAGGUAUUGGAGGAUUUGACCCCUUCAGUGCCGUAGCUAACGCGUUAAGUGUUCCGCCUGGGAAGUACGGUCGCAAGACUA
rnacentral:rRNA from 1 species